rnacentral:rRNA from 1 species
UACGUAGGGGGCAAGCGUUGUCCGGAAUCAUUGGGCGUAAAGAGCGUGUAGGCGGAUCCGUAAGUGCCUUGUGAAAUCCCACGGCUUAACCGUGGAACUGCUGGGCAUACUGCGGGUCUUGAGCCAUCUAGGGGCCUGCGGAACAAGCGGUGGAGCGGUGAAAUGCGUAGAUAUCGCUUGGAACGCCAACGGAGAAAUCAGCAGGCUGGGGAUGUGCUGACGCUGAGACGCGAAAGCCAGGGGAGCAAACGGG